rnacentral:rRNA from 1 species
UACGUAGGGGGCAAGCGUUGUCCGGAAUCAUUGGGCGUAAAGGGUGCGUAGGCGGCUUGGUGGGUCUGGUGUGAAAGCCCCGGGCUCAGCCCGGGAAGGGCGCUAGAAACUGCCGAGCUCGAGUGCCGGAGGGGAGAGUGGAAUUCCCGGUGUAGCGGUGAAAUGCGCAGAUAUCGGGAGGAACACCAAUGGCGAAGGCAGCUCGCUGGGACGUUACUGACGCUGAGACGCGAAAGCGUGGGGAGCAAACAGG